rnacentral:rRNA from 1 species
AUUGAACGCUGGCGGAAUGCUUUACACAUGCAAGUCGAACGGCAGCACGGGAGCUUGCUCCUGGUGGCGAGUGGCGAACGGGUGAGUAAUGCAUCGGAACGUACCUAUUAGUGGGGGAUAACUAUCCGAAAGGAUGGCUAAUACCGCAUACGUCCUGAGGGAGAAAGCGGGGGAUCGUAAGACCUCGCGCUAAUAGAGCGGCCGAUGUUGGAUUAGCUAGUUGGUGGGGUAAAGGCCUACCAAGGCGACGAUCCAUAGCUGGUCUGAGAGGAUGAUCAGCCACACUGGGACUGAGACACGGCCCAGACUCCUACGGGAGGCAGCAGUGGGGAAUUUUGGACAAUGGGCGCAAGCCUGAUCCAGCCAUGCCGCGUGCGGGAAGAAGGCCUUCGGGUUGUAAACCGCUUUUGUCAGGGAAGAAAUCUUUCGGGCUAAUACCCCGGAAGGAUGACGGUACCUGAAGAAUAAGCACCGGCUAACUACGUGCCAGCAGCCGCCGUAA